rnacentral:rRNA from 1 species
UACAGAGGUCUCAAGCGUUGUUCGGAUUCAUUGGGCGUAAAGGGUGCGUAGGUGGCGCUGUAAGUCGGGUGUGAAAUUUCGGAGCUUAACUCCGAAACUGCAUUCGAUACUGCGGUGCUUGAGGACUGGAGAGGAGACUGGAAUUUAUGGUGUAGCAGUGAAAUGCGUAGAGAUCAUAAGGAAGACCAGUGGCGAAGGCGGGUCUCUGGACAGUUCCUGACGCUGAGGCACGAAGGCCAGGGGAGCAAACGGG